ensembl:rRNA 5S_rRNA 5S ribosomal RNA
AUAUACAGCCAUACCACCCUGAAUGCACCCGAUCUCAUCUGAUCUCAAAAGGUAGAUAGAGUUGGGCCUGGGUUAGUACUUGGAAGGGAAAAGUAUUUUCCCCACCCAAGUAUGUGUGAAACUACAAAUU